CCCCCGAGCGUAUUCUUCCAGACUCCGUCCACGCCACGGCCACCUCCCGUCCCCGCCCACCCACUCGGGCCCCGGAAUCUCACGAUUCCACUUCUCAGGCCUGGGAGAUCGCACGGGGAGCGCUUCCGACGCCGGGGCCCAGCUGCGGCCCCCCGGGAACUCGGCCGGUGUGAACCGCCGUGAGUCGGCGGCGCUCGGUCCCGGCCGAGCCCGGCCCCGUCCCUCGCCGCCACCCCGAGUCCAUUACCAGAGCACAAGACCGGCACGAGCAGCAGCGCCAACACCAGCGACCGCGCCAGCACGCCGAGGCCCCGGGCACCCGGCCCGGGAAGCAGCUUCUCUCGCGCAGCCCCGCUCAUUCUGCCCAGGGUGGCGGCGGCCAUAACGGACUCGGCCCCGAGCCUGCGCUGUUGCUAGGGUCUGCGUGGUGACGUCAGGUACGCGUCCGAAGGCGCGCGCCCGAAGCCCCUACGUCCCGACGACGUGAUGACGCCGCAUCCCCGAAGCUGGAAGGAGCCAGGAAAGUUAACACGGAAUUGCAGAGGGGAGCUGAGAAAGGUGUGUGCAUGCUUCUCAGCAGCUAGGAUCGGGACACCAGUGCUCGGGAAGUCACAAUUUCAUCUGUGGACUCUACAGAUUGACAAAGGACCCGCACAUCCCCAGCUUCCACCUGGGGCCUGACAUCUCUAGAGGGGCUCCUCCCCAGCCCACGUCUACAGCUAAAAGGACCCUUUCAGGAAUGGGGUUUUUGCUGUACCUCUGAAAUGGUAAACACCUUAAAGCCGAGUCAUCCUUAGCCUGGAGAUCUAACGUGGUACUUAUCAAUUCUCGCAUCCCCAACAUACAACAUUAAAAGGUACACUAAAUUCUGAAGGUAGCUAUACUGCAAAAUAGUUUAAAAUUAACGAUUGUACAAUAUUCAUUUAUGCUUGAAAUUCCAGUCCUAGACCAAGCUUGUGGCCACCCGCAUUGACAUUCUUGCCAUCCAGCAGAGCUGACAGGGUACAAUCGGCAGUGGCCAAACGUGGUAACCUUUCAGGAUGCGUUGUGUAGUAAUACAAGCUGGCCCGCUGGUGUCCUCAGAUGAAGACGUGCAACGGCCAUGACCGGUAGACAGAGCAGAAACCCGGCUGGAACGUCCACCUUCCUUCCCCCUCAUGUCUCCCCCAUCACGAUGAGCAUUUGACCUCUGGUAGCACACGUGGGGAUGACUGACAGGCUAAAUUUGACAACAGCCUGGAAUUAACAAGUCUCACACCCCAGGAAAAGGAUGGAAGAAAAUAACCAGAGACGUACCAUGAUAUUUACAGACACUUUCCUUCUGGCUUUCUAUUUCUCACUCUUUUUUUCUUUUGACAAUGACCCCACAACUCCUUUAUAAACAUUCAACUAUAAAAGUUUAUAUACACUCA